AGAGAGAGACAUGCGCGCAUAUCAAUAAGCGGAGGAAAAGAAACUAACUAGGAUUCCCUUAGUAACGGCGAGUGAAGCGGGAAGAGCUCAAAUUUGAAAUCUUCAAGGUUCUACCUUGACGAAUUGUAGUUUAUAGAAGUGUUUUCUGUUAGUGGAGUGGCAAAAGUUCUUUGGAAUAGGACAUCAUAGAGGGUGAGAAUCCCGUAUUUGGUCAUUCCUCCUAGCGUUGUGAUACACUUUCAACGAGUCGGAUUGUUUGGGAAUGCAGUCCAAAAUGGGUGGUAAAUUUCAUCUAAAGCUAAAUAUUGGCGAGAGACCGAUAGCGAACAAGUACCGUGAGGGAAAGAUGAAAAGAACUUUGAAAAGAGAGUUAAACAGUACGUGAAAUUGUCAAAAGGGAAGCGUUUGACACCAGUGUUGUUUUUCCGAAAAUCAAUUACGAAUGUUUUAUUUUUGAGGAGUUAUGACUUCAUCGGCUUGCUCCUUUCUUUACUGAAACUUUCUUAAUGCACUUUUCGGUUAACAAGUCAACAUCAAUUUCUUUUGUUGUAAAAGGGUAUGAGGAAGGUGGCUUUCUUUUCGGAGAAAGUGUUUAUAGCCUUGUGCCUCUGCAAUCGGAGAGAUUGAGGUCUGCAGCGUAGAUCCUUCGGGGCUAGAUACGUAGAUGCUAAGUUAUAGUUUUUAUAGACAACUUGUUGACUAUAGUUAGUCAUGUAGCUUACUCGUUGACGCUAUUUUACCUACGCUUAGGAUGUUGAUAGUCACAGCGUGUAC
rnacentral:rRNA from 1 species